UCUAGGGGUAGCAAUACCACUGGCGCACGGGUGAGUAACACGUAGGUUAUCUGCCCCCAUCACAGACAUAACCCCGGGAAACCGGGGCUAAUAUCUGAUGAGGUCGCGAGAUCAAAGCUUCGGCGGAUGGGGAUGAGCCUGCGGCUGAUUAGCUAGUUGGUGAGGUAACGGCUCACCAAGGCGACGAUCAGUGGCUGGUCUGAGAGGACGAACAGCCACACUGGAACUGAGACACGGUCCAGACUCCUACGGGAGGCAGCAGUGAGGAAUAUUGGUCAAUGGGAGCAAUCCUGAACCAGCAAUGCCGCGUGUGGGAUGACAGGGCUUCGCCUUGUAAACCACUGUCGGACGGGACGAAAGGAGGCCACGGGCCUCUGGGACGGUACCGUCAAAGGAAGGGUCGGCUAACUACGUGCCAGCAGCCGCGGUAAUACGUAGGACCCGAGCGUUGUCCGGAUUUACUGGGUAUAAAGGGUGCGUAGGCGGCCUUGUGCGUCAGAGGUGAAAUAUCCGGGCUUAACCCGGAGGGUGCCUUUGAUACGGCAGGGCUUGAGUGCGAGAGAGGAUGAUGGAAUUCCUGGUGUAGCGGUGAAAUGCGUAGAUAUCAGGAGGAACACCGGUGGCGAAGGCGGUCAUCUGGCUCGUAACUGACGCUGAGGCACGAAAGCGCGGGGAUCAAACAGGAUUAGAUACCCUGGUA
rnacentral:rRNA from 1 species